rnacentral:lncRNA from 1 species
CACAUAGCUAGUAAGUUCUAGCUAGCACUGAGUGCUGUGCCCGUGAAAUUUAUCUACAUAGGCUUUCACUUAACCUGCAGACAGAACUCAGUUAGUCGGGGACAAUUUCCCUCAAUGUUAACAGCACUGUUCCACCGCAACGUGGAACAACAGCUUUAAAACGUGCUCUUCGUAGGCCCGGCUACUCCAAGAACAGUGCCUCCCGCCAGACCCAGGCGGCUUCCUUCACCCGCAACCCGAGAGACGACCCGCCGGGCCCGCCCCGCGGAAGCCGCCGGUUGCCAGGCCAAGGAGUGGACUAGGGUCGCCGGGGAAGCGGUUUGGGAGAGCCCAUGGUGACUGCGUGAGUGGAGCCCAGCUGUGUGGAUGCCCCAGCAUGGAUGACUACAUGGUCCUGAGAAUGAUUGGGGAGGGCUCCUUCGGCAGAGCUCUUUUGGUUCAGCAUGAAAGCAGUAAUCAGAUGUUUGCCAUGAAAGAAAUAAGGCUUCCCAAGUCUUUCUCUAAUACACAGAAUUCUAGGAAGGAGGCUGUUCUUUUAGCCAAAAUGAAACACCCUAAUAUUGUUGCCUUCAAAGAAUCAUUUGAAGCUGAAGGACACUUGUAUAUUGUGAUGGAAUACUGUGAUGGAGGGGAUCUAAUGCAAAAGAUUAAACAGCAGAAAGGAAAGUUAUUUCCUGAAGACAUGAUACUUAAUUGGUUUACCCAAAUGUGCCUUGGAGUAAAUCACAUUCACAAGAAACGUGUGCUACACAGAGAUAUCAAGUCCAAGAAUAUCUUCCUCACUCAGAAUGGAAAAGUGAAAUUGGGAGACUUUGGAUCUGCCCGUCUUCUCUCCAAUCCGAUGGCAUUUGCUUGUACCUAUGUGGGAACUCCUUAUUAUGUGCCUCCAGAAAUUUGGGAAAACCUGCCUUAUAACAAUAAAAGUGACAUCUGGUCCUUGGGUUGCAUCCUGUAUGAACUCUGUACCCUUAAGCAUCCAUUUCAGGCAAAUAGUUGGAAAAAUCUUAUCCUCAAAGUAUGUCAAGGGUGCAUCAGUCCACUGCCGUCUCAUUACUCCUAUGAACUUCAGUUCCUAGUCAAGCAGAUGUUUAAAAGGAAUCCCUCACAUCGCCCCUCGGCUACAACGCUUCUCUCUCGAGGCAUCGUAGCUCGGCUUGUCCAGAAGUGCUUACCCCCCGAGAUCAUCAUGGAAUAUGGUGAGGAAGUAUUAGAAGAAAUAAAAAAUUCGAAGCAUAACACACCAAGAAAAAAACAAACCCCAGCAGAAUCAGGAUAGCUUUGGGAAAUGAAGCAAGCACAGUGCAAGAGGAAGAACAAGAUAGAAAGGGUAGCCAUACUGAUUUGGAAAGCAUUAAUGAAAAUUUAGUUGAAAGUGCAUUGAGAAGAGUAAACAGAGAAGAAAAAGGUAAUAAGUCAGUCCAUCUGAGGAAAGCCAGUUCACCAAAUCUUCAUAGACGACAGUGGGAGAAAAAUGUACCCAAUACAGCUCUUACAGCUUUGGAAAAUGCAUCCAUACUCACCUCCAGUUUAACAGCAGAGGACGAUAGAGGUGGUUCUGUAAUAAAGUACAGCAAAAAUACUACUCGUAAGCAGUGGCUCAAAGAGACCCCUGACACUUUGUUGAACAUCCUUAAGAAUGCUGAUCUCAGCUUGGCUUUUCAAACAUACACAAUAUAUAGACCAGGUUCAGAAGGGUUCUUGAAAGGCCCCCUGUCUGAAGAAACAGAAGCAUCGGACAGUGUUGAUGGAGGUCACGAUUCUGUCAUUUUGGAUCCAGAGCGACUUGAGCCUGGGCUAGAUGAGGAGGACACGGACUUUGAGGAGGAAGAUGACAACCCCGACUGGGUGUCAGAGCUGAAGAAGCGAGCUGGAUGGCAAGGCCUGUGCGACAGAUAAUGCCUGAGGAAAUGUUCCUGAGUCACGCUGAGGAGAGGCUUCACUCAGGAGUUCAUGCUGAGAUGAUCAUGAGUUCAUGCGACGUAUAUUUUCCUUUGGAAACAGAAUGAAGCAGAGGAAACUCUUAAUACUUAAAAUCGUUCUUGAUUAGUAUCGUGAGUUUGAAAAGUCUAGAACUCCUGUAAGUUUUUGAACUCAAGGGAGAAGGUAUAGUGGAAUGAGUGUGAGCAUCGGGCUUUGCAGUCCCAUAGAACAGAAAUGGGAUGCUAGCGUGCCACUACCUACUUGUGUGAUUGUGGGAAAUUACUUAACCUCUUCAAGCCCCAAUUUCCUCAACCAUAAAAUGAAGAUAAUAAUGCCUACCUCAGAGGGAUGCUGACCACAGACCUUUAUAGCAGCCCGUAUGAUAUUAUUCACAUUAUGAUAUGUGUUUAUUAUUAUGUGACUCUUUUUACAUUUCCUAAAGGUUUGAGAAUUAAAUAUAUUUAAUUAUGAUUUA